UGCUUGAGGAAAUGGACAAACUAGUGUUGU
rnacentral:piRNA from 1 species